AGUGGCAGACGGGUGAGUAACGCGUGGGAACAUACCCUUCGGUUCGGAAUAACUCAGGGAAACUUGAGCUAAUGCCGGAUACGCGUAAGGAAAGAUUUGCCGAGGGAUUGGCCCGCGUCUGAUUAGCUAGUUGGUGAGGUAAUGGCUCACCAAGGCGACGAUCAGUAGCUGGUCUGAGAGGAUGAUCAGCCACAUUGGGACUGAGACACGGCCCAAACUCCUACGGGAGGCAGCAGUGGGGAAUAUUGGACAAUGGGCGCAAGCCUGAUCCAGCCAUGCCGCGUGAGUGAUGAAGGCCUUAGGGUUGUAAAGCUCUUUUACUCGGGAAGAUUGACGGUACCGAGAGAAUAAGCCCCGGCUAACUUCGUGCCAGCAGCCGCGGUAAUACGAAGGGGGCUAGCGUUG
rnacentral:rRNA from 1 species